AGAAAAAGUCAAGAUAAAUGCAAAUUUUCGAUUAAAAGCACGCUUACAGGCGUAAAAAUGACAAAGUAACAAUUUUAAACAAUUUCGAACCUGAAUUAAUUAAUUUCUCUGAUUUAUGCCUGUAAGCGUGCUUUUUAAUCGAAAAUUU
ensembl:ncRNA Y113G7C.2 ncRNA